rnacentral:tRNA from 2 species
CGGGGCGUAGCGUAGCUUGGUAUCGCGUCAGUUUUGGGAACUGAAGGCCGCUGGUUCAAAUCCAGUCGCCCCGACCA